CCUCUUCUUUCCCUCUGCUCCUCUUUCCCUCUGCUCCUCUGUCCCUCUUCAGGUCCUCCUCUGUCCCUCUUCAGGUCCUCCUCUUUCCCUCUGCUCCUCUGUCCCUCUUCAGGUCCUCCUCUUUCCCUCUGCUCCUCUGUCCCUCUUCAGGUCCUCCUCUGUCCCUCUUCAGGUCCUCCUCUUUCCCUCUGCUCGUCUCUGUCCCUCUUCAGGUCCUCCUCUGUCCCUCUUUAGGUCCUCCUCUUUCCCUCUGCUCCUCUGACCCUCUUUAGGUCCUCCUCUUUCCCUCUGCUCCUCUGACCCUCUUCAGGUCCUCCUCUGUCCCUCUUUAGGUCCUCCUCUUUCCCUCUGCUCCUCUGACCCUCUUUAGGUCCUCCUCUUUCCCUCUGCUCCUCUGACCCUCUUCAGGUCCUCCUCUGUCCCUCUUUAGGUCCUCCUCUUUCCCUCUGCUCCUCUGACCCUCUUUAGGUCCUCCUCUUUCCCUCUGCUCCUCUGACCCUCUUCAGGUCCUCCUCUGUCCCUCUUUAGGUCCUCCUCUUUCCCUCUGCUCCUCUGACCCUCUUUUGGUCCUCCUCUUUCCCUCUGACCCUCUUCAGGUCCUCCUCUUUCCCUCUGCUCAUCUCUUUCCCUCUGCUCCUCUGUCCCUCUUUAGGUCCUCCUCUUUCCCUCUGCUCGUCUCUGUCCCUCUUUAGGUCAUCCUCUGCUCCCCUCUUUCCAUCUGCUCCUCUGUCCCUCUGCAGGUCCGCCUCUUUCCCUCUGCUCCUUUCUGUCCCUCUUUAGGUCCUCCUCGUUCUCUCUGCACCUCUUUAGGUCCUCCUCUUUCCCUCUGCUCCUCUCUAGGUCCUCCUCUGCUCCGAUCUGUCCCUCUAGGUCCUCCUCUUUCCCUCUGCUCCUCCUCCUCUGUCCCUCUUCAGGUCCUCCUCUUUCUCUUUCCCUCUGCUCCUCUCUGACACACUUUAGGUCUUCCUCUUUCCCUCUGCUCCUCUCUGACCCUAAUUAGGUCUUCCUCUGCUCCACUCUGUCCCUCUUUAGGUCCUCCUCUUUCAGCUUUGUAUUUAGUUCUUUAUGUUGUGCUGUUUUUCUUCUCCAUUCACCUGUUCUGAAUGCUUUCCUGUCUUCUGAGCUCCUGUGAAAAACUGCUUUCAUCUUUCAGUAGUCUAGUCAGAAUAUUCCCUCAUGUUCUAUGCCCCUUGCUUUCAUUUUCCUCUUGUACCGGCUGUCUGUCACCUCUUAUUCCUGUGUGCUUUUCUCUUCCUAGAACUUAUUUUCCUUCAUUAUGAAUUUACACAGAAGAGAUGAAUCUUGUAGAAUGUUCUCUCCACGACAUGCUAAUGAGGAUUUCUAUUGCUAUUCUGUGGCUUGUUGCUUCUUCAGCCUACUCAAUUUCCUCAUGCAAAAGCAUGCCUUUUCCCAACUGCUCUCUGGUCAUACUGUGAGCCAUUCUUUUGACAUUUAAUAUUGUGCCAAUCCCUAGAAACAGUGCAAUCAUGUUGAUCAGUGACAUGAUAGCCAGAAUUUCAGGAACUGUCCCUGUAAUAUGAUUGAUUGUCCAUUGCUGUCUCUCAGUUCAGAUUUUUAUUAAAAUAAAUGCCUUUAACAAUGUUCAGUUUGAGUAGUCCUCUGGGUUUGAUGCAAUUUUUACAUUGAUUAAGUAGAAGUGCAACAUGUCAUUUC
ensembl:lncRNA